AAGUCGUAACAAGGUUUCCGUAGGUGAACCUGCGGAAGGAUCAUUACCUUUGGCUGCCGUGAGCGCUUCGGCGUGAGCGACAGUCAUUCUAUAGCGAUGCCUCCGUGUCCGGGAAACCGGCGCGGGGCUGACCUAACCCUUCUCUACGAGUACCUAUUAUUCUCCUUCGGCGGGGCAACCCGUCGCUGGAACUUAAGAACCAACUUGCAUUUAGCAUUACCUGUUCUGAUAACAAUUAAUUAUUACAACUUUCAACAAUGGAUCUCUUGGCUCUG
rnacentral:misc_RNA from 1 species